AUUGAACGCUGGCGGCAUGCCUUACACAUGCAAGUCGAACGGUAACAGGUCUUCGGAUGCUGACGAGUGGCGAACGGGUGAGUAAUACAUCGGAACGUGCCUAGUAGUGGGGGAUAACUACUCGAAAGAGUGGCUAAUACCGCAUGGGAUCUACGGAUGAAAGCAGGGGAUCGCAAGAACUUGUGUUACUAGAGCGGCCGGUGGCAGAUUAGGUAGUUGGUGGGAUAAAAGCUUACCAAGCCGACGAUCUGUACCUGGUCUGAGAGGACGAUCAGCCACACUGGGACUGAGACACGGCCCAGACUCCUACGGGAGGCAGCAGUGGGGAAUUUUGGACAAUGGGCGCAAGCCUGAUCCAGCAAUGCCGCGUGCAGGAUGAAGGCCUUCGGGUUGUAAACUGCUUUUGUACGGAACGAAAAGCCCUGGGUUAAUACCCUGGGGUCAUGACGGUACCGUAAGAAUAAGCACCGGCUAACUACGUGCCAGCCGCCGCCGUAAAAC
rnacentral:rRNA from 1 species